AGCCCAGCACCGAACCGCCGGCCAUCUCGGUCGCGUGGAAUGUGGUGUUUGGGAGAGCCUCAUCGCAGUGAGUCGGUGCGUUCAAGUACACCUUGACUGGGACCAUUGACCAUAGAGGGUGAUAGUCCCGUAAGACUGCUGACUUGCUGCGCUGGCUUUUCCCUAGAGUCGAGUUGUUUGGGAGUACAGCUCAAAGUGCGUGGUAAACUCCACGUAAGGCUAAAUAUGACCCCGAGACCGAUAGCGAACAAGUACCGUGAGGGAAAGUUGAAAAGCACUUUGAAGAGAGAGUUCAAGAGUACGUGAAACUGUAUAGUAGUAAACGGAGGGGUUCUCGAAGUCGGCGGUGACGGUUCAGGGUGACGGCGGGGCGGCCUCUGGCUCUGAGAUCUGCAAAGACUCGGGUUGGUUGUUGGCUCUGUCGGCGCCUGCACUCCGUUGCCGCCUCACGCAACGAACCGUUGUUGGCGAGCCAAGGGCUUGGGUGAAGUUGGGGUGCCUUUUUGGUGCCUCAGCCCCGGGUUCCUGGCCUUGUCGGCGACGGGUACUGGAGUGGUCUCGUAUAACGAGUGUCCUCGUUGGCACGGGCUGCAUCUCUGUUGCGAGUAGGUCGGCGACCCCUCCGACCCGUCUUGAAACACGGACCAAGGAGUUUAACAUGUGCGCGAGCCAUUGGGUGUUCUAAACUCAAAGGCGCAGUGAAAGCAAAGGCUGCCUCGUGUAGCUGAGCGGUGAUCCUUGUAUUAGGCGCAACCGCGGAGCUUCGCCUCGACCUCGCAUCGUGCGGAGCAUCAAGAGCGUACACGUUGAGACCCGAAAGAUGGUGAAACUAUGC
rnacentral:rRNA from 1 species